rnacentral:rRNA from 1 species
AUUGAACGCUGGCGGCAGGCCUAACACAUGCAAGUCGAGCGAGCGGCGGACGGGUGAGUAAUGUAUGGGGAGCUGCCUGAUGGAGGGGGAUAACUACUGGAAACGGUGGCUAAUACCGCAUACCAUCGGAUGAGCCCAGAUGGGAUUAGCUAGUAGGUGGGGUAAAGGCUCACCAAGGCGCCGAUCCCUAGCUGGUCUGAGAGGAUGAUCAGCCACACUGGAACUGAGACACGGCCCAGACUCCUACGGGAGGCAGCAGUGGGGAAUAUUGCACAAUGGGCGCAAGCCUGAUGCAGCCAUGCCGCGUGUAUGAAGAAGGCCUUAGGGUUGUAAAGUACUUUCAGCGGGGAGGCGUUACCCGCAGAAGAAGCACCGGCUAACUCCGUGCCAGCAGCCGCGGUAAUUC